rnacentral:lncRNA from 1 species
CACUUACCUAUAUCUAGCAUAUCGAAUCAAUCUCCAAUAUUACAUAUGAUCAAGAAAUUGGUGGAUAAAACGGUGACCAAUAAUAAUACUCUUUUAUCUUCACUUUCUUAUAUGCAGUGCAAGUUUAGAAACUACAUCCAACUGCCUUCGUAGUGCAACACCCUCUUGACUAGAUUAUCUUGAAAUUCUUUUAGAUUGACCAAUAAAAGAGUUUUACAAACCCUAAAGAAAGAAGGGUGUAGUUCAUAUCUAUCACAAAGUGAAAAUUUUGUUCCACUUGGCUGCUUAGGAGGCUGGAAAGGAGGCACUGCUCAGGGAGCAUACUAAUGUUAUAUGCUAAAAUGAUUUGUUCAUCCUUGCAUCAAUUCCAAACAAGGAUGAGCACAUCAUUUAUAUUACUCAUUCGCCAUAAAGUAGUCUAUUUACAGAGAAUCGAAGUGCAAGGUGGAUUGGCCGGCAAAUUUAAACAGAGCA